GCUCUGCAGCAUCCUUUCUCCGCAGCGGGGUUUGGGGGGGCCAGGGCAGGGGGUUCCCCCCCGCAGCCCCCCCAAAGCGGGUGGAGGGUGCGGGGGGCUGCGGGGGGAGCUGGGCAGGGCUGGAGGCUCUUUCCCCGCGGGUCGCUCCUUGUUUUAAAAGGCAGCAUUUCUGCGGACAACACCCGGAGCAUCUCUGCGGAAGCGGGGCUGGGGGCGAGGGCUGCAGCCGCCUUGUUUGCGGCGCACGGAGUCAGCAGCUGGGAUUUUUUUUUUUUUUUUUUUUUUUUGGCUGAAUAAUCCUUUACGGGGAGGGGGUGUGCGGGAAAAAAAAAAAAAAAAGGGGGGGGGGGGCUGGGGGAGGAGGGAGGGAAAGUGAAUCAACAUCACCGAAGGAGGACAGCGAGCAAGAUUAGGGCUGGCUAAUGAUAAAUGAGAAGGCGCCGCUGACAGCUCCGCGCACCGCGCAGCGCCCGCCCGGCUGCUCCGCGCUCCCUCCGCACUCUCCGGCCGCCCGCUCCGCUCCCACCGCCGGCCUGGCUCCAGCCCCCCCCUUCCCUUUUCUUUUCUAUAUAUAUAUUUUUUUAUAUAUAUAUAUAAUUUUCAGCCCCCUCCGCAUAGCGCGGGGGGGGGCACAUCCCACCCCCUGCCUCCCCGAGCAUCCUCCGCGGGAUUACGCGCCUGGCCGCGCUCCGCACCGGCUGCAGGACGGAGGGACCACGGCGGGGCUGCCGCAGGGGCUCCGUGCACAGAGCCUCACCUCUGGAAUGGUGCCCUUGGGAACGCUGACAGCAGCUCGGGGUCCUUGGGACGCCUCUUUGCACCCGCCGAGGGUUCUGCAGGUAUUUCGGGACAUCCCUCCCUGGGCUCGCAUCCCGGCCGGUGCGGAUGCCGCAAGGAGCCCGUUGGGUCAUGCCAAUAAAGCUCUUUCCUUGCGGG